AGAGUUUGAUCCUGGCUCAGGAUGAACGCUGGCGGCGUGCCUAAUACAUGCAAGUCGAGCGAACGGACGAGAAGCUUGCUUCUCUGAUGUUAGCGGCGGACGGGUGAGUAACACGUGGAUAACCUACCUAUAAGACUGGGAUAACUUCGGGAAACCGGAGCUAAUACCGGAUAAUAUUUCGAACCGCACGGUUCAAAAGUGAAAGACGGUCUUGCUGUCACUUAUAGAUGGAUCCGCGCUGCAUUAGCUAGUUGGUAAGGUAACGGCUUACCAAGGCAAUGAUGCAUAGCCGACCUGAGAGGGUGAUUGGCCACACUGGAACUGAGACACGGUCCAGACUCCUACGGGAGGCAGCAGUAGGGAAUCUUCCGCAAUGGGCGAAAGCCUGACGGAGCAACGCCGCGUGAGUGAUGAAGGUCUUCGGAUCGUAAAACUCUGUUAUUAGGGAAGAACAUAUGUGUAAGUAACUGUGCACAUCUUGACGGUACCUAAUCAGAAAGCCACGGCUAACUACGUGCCAGCAGCCGCGGUAAUACGUAGGUGGCAAGCGUUAUCCGGAAUUAUUGGGCGUAAAGCGCGCGUAGGCGGUUUUUUAAGUCUGAUGUGAAAGCCCACGGCUCAACCGUGGAGGGUCAUUGGAAACUGGAAAACUUGAGUGCAGAAGAGGAAAGUGGAAUUCCAUGUGUAGCGGUGAAAUGCGCAGAGAUAUGGAGGAACACCAGUGGCGAAGGCGACUUUCUGGUCUGUAACUGACGCUGAUGUGCGAAAGCGUGGGGAUCAAACAGGAUUAGAUACCCUGGUAGUCCACGCCGUAAACGAUGAGUGCUAAGUGUUAGGGGGUUUCCGCCCCUUAGUGCUGCAGCUAACGCAUUAAGCACUCCGCCUGGGGAGUACGACCGCAAGGUUGAAACUCAAAGGAAUUGACGGGGACCCGCACAAGCGGUGGAGCAUGUGGUUUAAUUCGAAGCAACGCGAAGAACCUUACCAAAUCUUGACAUCCUUUGACAACUCUAGAGAUAGAGCCUUCCCCUUCGGGGGACAAAGUGACAGGUGGUGCAUGGUUGUCGUCAGCUCGUGUCGUGAGAUGUUGGGUUAAGUCCCGCAACGAGCGCAACCCUUAAGCUUAGUUGCCAUCAUUAAGUUGGGCACUCUAAGUUGACUGCCGGUGACAAACCGGAGGAAGGUGGGGAUGACGUCAAAUCAUCAUGCCCCUUAUGAUUUGGGCUACACACGUGCUACAAUGGACAAUACAAAGGGCAGCGAAACCGCGAGGUCAAGCAAAUCCCAUAAAGUUGUUCUCAGUUCGGAUUGUAGUCUGCAACUCGACUACAUGAAGCUGGAAUCGCUAGUAAUCGUAGAUCAGCAUGCUACGGUGAAUACGUUCCCGGGUCUUGUACACACCGCCCGUCACACCACGAGAGUUUGUAACACCCGAAGCCGGUGGAGUAACCUUUUAGGAGCUAGCCGUCGAAGGUGGGACAAAUGAUUGGGGUGAAGUCGUAACAAGGUAGCCGUAUCGGAAGGUGCGGCUGGAUCACCU
rnacentral:rRNA from 1 species